rnacentral:rRNA from 1 species
GACGAACGCGGCGGCGUGCUUAACACUGCAAGUCGAACGAUGAAGCCUAGCAUGCUAGGUGGAUUAGUGGCGAACGGGUGAGUAAUACGUGAGUAACCUACCUUUAACUCUGGGAUAAGCCUGGGAAACUGGGUCUAAUACCGGAUACGACCAAUCUCCGCAUGGGGUGUUGGUGGAAAGCGUUAUGUAGUGGUUAUAGAUGGGCUCACGGCCUAUCAGCUUGUUGGUGAGGUAACGGCUCACCAAGGCGACGACGGGUAGCCGGCCUGAGAGGGUGACCGGCCACACUGGGACUGAGACACGGCCCAGACUCCUACGGGAGGCAGCAGUGGGGAAUAUUGCACAAUGGGCGCAAGCCUGAUGCAGCGACGCCGCGUGAGGGAUGACGGCCUUCGGGUUGUAAACCUCUGUUAGCAGGGAAGAAGAGAGAUUGACGGUACCUGCAGAGAAAGCGCCGGCUAACUACGUGCCAGCAGCCGCGGUAAUACGUAGGGCGCGAGCGUUGUCCGGAAUUAUUGGGCGUAAAGAGCUUGUAGGCGGUUUGUCGCGUCUGCUGUGAAAGGCCGGGGCUUAACUCCGUGUAUUGCAGUGGGUACGGGCAGACUAGAGUGCAGUAGGGGAGACUGGAAUUCCUGGUGUAGCGGUGGAAUGCGCAGAUAUCAGGAGGAACACCGAUGGCGAAGGCAGGUCUCUGGGCUGUAACUGACGCUGAGAAGCGAAAGCAUGGGGAGCGAACAGG